AAAUUGAAGAGUUUGAUCAUGGCUCAGAUUGAACGCUGGCGGCAGGCCUAACACAUGCAAGUCGAACGGUAACAGGAAGCAGCUUGCUGCUUUGCUGACGAGUGGCGGACGGGUGAGUAAUGUCUGGGAAACUGCCUGAUGGAGGGGGAUAACUACUGGAAACGGUGGCUAAUACCGCAUAACGUCGCAAGACCAAAGAGGGGGACCUUCGGGCCUCUUGCCAUCAGAUGUGCCCAGAUGGGAUUAGCUUGUUGGUGAGGUAACGGCUCACCAAGGCGACGAUCCCUAGCUGGUCUGAGAGGAUGACCAGCCACACUGGAACUGAGACACGG
rnacentral:rRNA from 11 species